rnacentral:rRNA from 1 species
AUUGAACGCUGGCGGCAGGCCUAACACAUGCAAGUCGAGCGGAUGAAGGGAGCUUGCUCCUGGAUUCAGCGGCGGACGGGUGAGUAAUGCCUAGGAAUCUGCCUGGUAGUGGGGGAUAACGUCCGGAAACGGGCGCUAAUACCGCAUACGUCCUGAGGGAGAAAGUGGGGGAUCUUCGGACCUCACGCUAUCAGAUGAGCCUAGGUCGGAUUAGCUAGUUGGUGGGGUAAAGGCCUACCAAGGCGACGAUCCGUAACUGGUCUGAGAGGAUGAUCAGUCACACUGGAGCUGAGACACGGUCCAGACUCCUACGGGAGGCAGCAGUGGGGAAUAUUGGACAAUGGGCGAAAGCCUGAUCCAGCAAUGCCGCGUGUGUGAAGAAGGUCUUCGGAUUGUAAAGCACUUUAAGUUGGGAGGAAGGGCAGUAAGUUAAUACCUUGCUGUUUUGACGUUACCAACAGAAUAAGCACCGGCUAACUUCGUG